UUGAAAUGUUGUGUGACCGAGCAGUGAAAAAUUAAUUGACAUCAUACGAAAACACAAGAAUUUCAUUAACAUUUAAAGAAAAAAUUAUUUAAAAUGUAUCUGCAGUAUUUGUAUAUAUCUGUAAACAUCAACUUCCUUCACACAGUAAACUGUUGGGAGAGAUUAAUCAAAAUUGUAGAUGUUUAAUUCUCCAAAAAUGAAUAUUGUAUUAGUUUAUCACAAGAAAGGCUUUAAAAUUCGAAUUUGCAGAGUAACCUUUUACUUUUAAAUGUAUAUUAUAAAUAUAAAUGUAUACAUGUAUAUUUUGCAGCAUGAUUUAGCUUAAUCAGUUAAGUCACCACCACUCUGCACAAGGUUUAAGUGCUGACAAGAACAGCACUUAAACUUUCUGCUGUCAUUAAAAUGGACAACAGAGAAAAUUUAGACGAUAUUGUGGAAACAUGGAGUCAGAAGGUACUCCUUUUUCUGGGGCCAUCACCCAGCCCUCCCCGUCCUCCACCUUUCCCCACUGGACCCUAACUCUAAAAUCAGUCUGCGGUCACCUUCCUUGUAUUUUACCUUUGUGUAACUGUGCUUUGAAGCUUUGCUAAUCAGUAAAUCACUGCCAGCGAAUCAUAAUUUAAAAAGAAUAACUCGGCAGCGCAAAGUGAAGCUAUGUAUGAAUGUAGUUUUAUGCACAGCCCACUGAUCUCACUUCUAGUGGAUAAAUCAUAGUGUUGCAUUUCUCUCAUCGUCUGUUGUACGUUUUGUGCGUUUCACAUGUGAUGUCCUCGUGAUUUCUAAUGACAUGGUCCAGUACCUGCAUCCUGAACUGUAUGUAAAACACACAAACACACAAGCGGACACAGCUGAUGAACAUCUGUAAAUUUGUAUUAACUGUCUGUUAUCUCAUAUCUGUCUCUCUGUAUAUCUGUAGGCACGGUGUGAAGGUUUGUGAUUUUGUAUCUCCUCCACUCGACAGCUCCACUCCAAAUUGUGCACAGUGACAACACAUGCUCUUACUCUGUGUCCCAACAACAUGAAGACAGGCCAUACAUCAAGAAGCCACCAAACACCUUCAUGCUUUACCCUAAGGAGCAAAGGUCAAAGCUGAACUAAACAUCACUGAGAGAGCAGGUCUAAAUGCAGUCGUGGGAGAGAGAUGGAAGUCACUUUCAAAGGAUGAGCAGAGGAAAUAGAAAGAUGUCGUCAUGCCAAAGAAAAUCCAGCGUGGUCUACCAAAGACAACUACAUACGUUCAAAGGGCCAAUAUGCAGUUCAUACAUGGGCCCAUCACUGCUCUAAAUGAUGAAACAGUCACAGCAAAGCGUUUGAAUCACUUUUUGAAAAUUCGAAUGUGUUUGUAUUUAGGGCAA